rnacentral:lncRNA from 1 species
CGAAGUUCGGAGUUGUCUAUCCGUUGUUUGCUAUCAAGGUUAUCUCUUUUAUAUUUAGUACAUUAUAUAUUUAUGCAUUGUCUUUUGAUAUUACCCCUUAUUUGUAGCUGUAUGUGAGAUUUGACUUCUAUGACUCACAUAUGGUGCAUAUCUGGUUUUGUCCUUGAAAUCGGGUAUUACACUUGUAGGCGCGCGUGCAGGAUCAGCCGCCCGUCUCCUUGUCUUCGGAACCCCAUUAUUGAUUAAGAUUCAGUUUGAAACCUUCAAUUCAUCUUGCAAAUUCAGUGCUUGUUUCCUCGUUCUUGCUAGUUCUUCGAUUGCUUGCAGGACGGGAGCCCUAGGGGCUGGUUGUCGCGCUCCCCAAGAUCGUGACGGCUACUGGACGUGGUGUAUCGGUUGCUAAGGCGCGGUCUUGAGGGCUGUAGUCGGGCCGUGAACGUCAUCUCCAUCCACCCCGUCUCUCAUCAAAAGAUCGGGCAAAAACCCUAGCGGGUUCGCAUCAGUUGGUAAUCAGAGCAAGGUUCUUCGGUGAGAGACUUCUAAUCCUUUGCUGUUUUUAAUUAAUUUCCUAUAGUCCAGAAAAGCCAAAAAAAAUAUAGUAGAUUAGUUUUUCCAUAAUCCUAUUAAACCUUUGUGCCUUGGCUAGUACCGUUUUAGUUAGGGCUUGUUGAAUUUGCGUUGCUUCGGUUUGUGUCGAGUUGCUGGUCUUAGUGUCUAGUCCUUUAGAGUUUCGAGUUCUUGUCACCAUCUAUACACAACCGAGUAUUACCAUAUCUUCUCUCUGUCGAAUCUGUUGCAAAGUCCGAAUUGAACUGUGGUCUUGGUCCGGAUCGAGUAGAGUUCCAAUCUGAGUUCAAAAAGAAAGAUAACUCCAUACUUGUUCGGCCUUACUCUAGAGAGAGAGAGUGUGUGUAGCGAAUUGCUCUUUUGUAUUCUUUUGUUCAUAUAAACAGUUUUUGAGGUUGCCCAAAAAAAAAGAAAAAAAAAGAAAAGAGAAAAGAUUCAAAAGAAAAAAAAAAGGGCUGUUUUUCAUAUUGACUUUAGGUUUGUUCCACCUUGUUUUCGGGGGUGUGCUGUGGUUUUCCUUUGUGUCCAGGCUCGCGUCUCUAGCACGGUCUAGCCUAGGACCAGCACAGUACCAUCGUCGAACGCUUAUUCAGCUCGCUUUUAUAACUAACGUGGUGCUAGUUCGUUCCUUGUUUCAGCCCACCUAUAGCUCCACAUACUCUACAGCUUGACAGGUCUUGUGCUGCAGCACCGGUACACUUCGUCCAUUGCUGUACACUUGUUGGCAGACGACCCCUCCUGUCAAGCAAGGUAAGAAUUGGUAAGAACUUGUGUUACAGGUUGAGUGUGAGCGACUUGCUGUAGCUACGUCCUAGUAGUUGUAGGGCUUUGUAACACCCUAAAUUUUGCUUCUUUGAAAAUAGAGCUAAAAUAAUUUAUUUUGUAUUUCUGUGCUCAUGAAAAUAUAGUAAAAUAAAAUUUUUCCUUAAAUUAAAAUUCAUCAUAGGGUUUAGCAACGUUGUUGUGCAUACAUGCUGGUACAUAUGUUUUAUGUGAUGUUUGUUUGUUGCUUCUUUGUGUAUUGAGACUAAGCAAAGUUUUUAAAAUUACGUUUAGUAGAACGAUCUUCCUUGGUCAGUACAUCUUUAUCUUUUAUCUACAACCAAAUUCUUUGUUUGUAAGCUAAAAUUUUUAUUAGGACCUUCCUAAAAUAUUUUCUUUGUCACUCAAAGCACUUCUUUUAGUUCCUCGUCCAUCAAGCACUCUCUACAAACUUUUCGGGAAUUUUUCCAUCUUCUGUUCUCACUUUUCUCUGAGCAUGAUCUAAUUUUUAGAUGCUCUAAACAAUCUUAUCAUGAGCUCCAAAAACUUUAUUCGGGUUCCCCAUAUUCUAUAGUAUCUCUGAGAAUUUUUCCCGAAUUUUCGGAGCUUUCAUAGUAUUUUUCGUGGCUUAACUACUAAUUCUGGACUUUUCUAGAAUUAUUUUAUCAAUAAAAUUAAUUAAAUUCAAAAUAAUAAAAUAUCUCUUUUUAAUGCUCAAUGUCUAUGUAAAAUAAUUCUUAUAAAUCUUAAAGAGCCAACACGAGAUUAAAAAAAACUAGGGUUUUAUUUCCUAGUCGUAGACAGCCGCCGCCGUCCGAAUCCAUCUAGAAAUCAAAGACAUGUUUUGCACCGUCGUAAUCCGUUCUGAUCUGAUUCAUGCGUUGCUGGUGCUCUGUCAACCGAGGAAGAAUCAAGGACGGGAUCCUUUUCUGUUCCAUGGUGCAAGCUGAAUUCAAGUCAAGUCCAUCGUGGUCUCCAAAAGGCUGCUGCGGUUCAGCGUUUGCAGGGAUUAAUCAGGUCUGCUGCUUUGUCCCCGUUACCGCUGUCGCUGUGUUCCAGGCUGUUGCCGUCUCGGUGGAGGUGCAGAGUGUCCAACGAUUGUCAUCCAGAGAGGUCACGGCAAGGUCACAAGCUGCUGCUGCUGCCGUGCCAGAAAAAUUUGGAUUUCGUUCCGUACAUGCGAAUUGGAGACGGUGCUUCUUUUGCCAUACGUGAGGAAGUGGAGUUUCUUUUGUUAAUUCUACUACACACUAAUCGAGAAGGUAAUUAAGAUUUGCAUUUUGCUGCUGUUCAACAGUAGCGAAGAAAAUUAGAUUUGAACCUUUUCCACUACGUGCACCCAAAUAAGGCUACUAGAAAAUUUAUUAUUCAGGCUAUGGAGAUGCGACUCGAUCGACACCGUUCUUUAUGGUUGCCUAUAGCCAUGCUGCUGCCUUCUCCUACAGAGCCGAUCUUGAGUCGGCUUUCGAUCUGUAGCUGGUGAGCACCUGCACGUUCGCAUUUUUUUUUGCUUGCACUUCUAUUCUGUACGUGCUUGUGAUAUACAAACUAUAUAGUAAUUUAAUUAAUAUAUUCUCGACAAGUUUAUCUAAUUAAAAACAAUAUAUUUUUAUACUCCGAUCCAAUGUUUAUAUAUAAAUAAACUUUAAUGUGAUUUAAUUGCUAUUAUCAAUAUGUUUCUAAAUUAUAAAUUAUUUAGUUGAACCACGUCAUAUACAAUUAUAGUAGAUGCUCUCACCUUUUAAUUUCUUUUGUAGGCUAGAGUUUGAAUGACUUAAAUAAAAAUAAGACAUAUUUAUAGAAAUAAAAUAUGACUAGAUUUAGCUCGGUUUCUGAUUAGAUUGUAUUCACGUGAUUUGGUUUAAUUAAAACAAAUCAAGCAACGUGUAGGCUUUUAUAUUCUUUUGUAUAUAAAAAUCUUUUGAUAGUCGUCUAUUUAUAGUGAUAGUUCUAUUAUUAGCGUUACUUGUUACCUUGUAACAUUAGCUAUCUAUUAGUACACUUGUUUACUCUGUGUGGUGUAUUGUUCUUAGUUGCUUUUGUUUGUUGCUUGUAUGUUUUUCUAUGCGUGGUGCUUGCUACGAGUAGACGAGAAUUGUUUGUUGGCACUGAAGACCAAAAGAUGGUGACCGAAAGCUGAUGGUGUGGGAACUAAGCAAUUGGAUUAAGGCAAGUAUAGCAUUUGGAUUUUAUUUCUGUGACCAUGAUCCUGUGACUAGAUUAAUGUUAAGUAAUAAAUGAUAAAAAUGACUUUUUAGCCACUUGAUGAUUUAUCUGUACGUGAUCACCUGGGACAACAGUGCAACCAUGAGGGCUAUAAUGGCUCUGGCUUUAGCUCAGUAUGAAGACCUUUUCUAGCUUGUUAGAGGUUACCCGAAAGGGCGGAGGGGCUGAACCGUUUUGGGUAUAGUGCGAGCCCCUGUCCUUAUGUGUAUAGGCUGCGCGUCAUUGUGCCAUUUGGAAGGGGGGUAUCUAUAUCUGCGCGCAAAGGAAACCUUGCGGCCCUAACAUGUUAGACGAACUUUUGAAAGGCUUCAUAGUGAUCCCUGCCGACCUUCCUUGGUAUUGGGUUAAGAGGCUGAUCACCUCGGGCGAAAGGGUAAAUCAUGACUCAUGGGUAAAGAUGUACAACCUCUGCAGAGUGUUAAAACUAGUAUACUAGCCGAGCUCACGGUCAGGAGCGGCCUUGGGGACAUCUACAUUAAGGGUGAUGAAUCUUGUGUGUUAAAUAUGCUCAUUGUUUAUUGUUUAAUGUUUUACAUUAUUUAUGUCACAUUGAUCAUGAGAUUGUGGGAGCUAUACAAUCUAGUUGCUAUACUUGUGGAGUUCGACAUGGACUCACUCUUGUUCUUUCCCCCAAACCUCAGGAGAAGUUUAGGCUUGUGAUCAACCAGUCAGUUGGAUCCUGUAGAGAGAAGUUAAUACCCGAAGUUCGGAGUUGUCUAUCCAUUGUUUGCUAUCAAGGUUAUCUCUUUUAUAUUAAGUACGUUAUAUAUUUAUGCAUUGUCUUUUGAUAUUACCCCUUAUUUGUAGCUGUAUGUGAGAUUUGACUUCUAUGACUCACAUAUGGUGCAUAUCUGGUUUUGUGCUUGAAAUCGGGUAUUACACUUGUAGGCGCGCGUGCAGGAUCAGCCGCCCGUCUCCUUGUCUUCGGAACCCCAUUAUUGAUUAAGAUUCAGUUUGAAACCUUCAAUUCAUCUUGCAAAUUCAGUGCUUGUUUCCUCGUUCUUGCUAGUUCUUCGAUUGCUUGCAGGACGGGAGCCCUAAGGGCUGGUUGUCGCGCUCCCCAAGAUCGUGACGGCUACUGGACGUGGUGUAUCGGUUGCUAAGGCGCGGUCUUGAGGGCUGUAGUCGGGCCGUGAACGUCAUCUCCAUCCACCAAUCGAGUUAUCCCCGUCUCUCAUCAAAAGAUCGGGCAAAAACCCUAGCGGGUUCGCAUCAGUUGGUAAUCAGAGCAAGGUUCUUCGGUGAGAGACUUCUAAUCCUUUGCUGUUUUUAAUUAAUUUCCUAUAGUCCAGAAAAGCCAAAAAAAAUAUAGUAGAUUAGUUUUUCCAUAAUCCUAUUAAACCUUUGUGCCUUGGCUAGUACCGUUUUAGUUAGGGCUUGUUGAAUUUGCGUUGCUUCGGUUUGUGUCGAGUUGCUGGUCUUAGUGUCUAGUCCUUUAGAGUUUCGAGUUCUUGUCACCAUCUAUACACAACCGAGUAUUACCAUAUCUUCUCUCUGUCGAAUCUGUUGCAAAGUCCGAAUUGAACUGUGGUCUUGGUCCGGAUCGAGUAGAGUUCCAAUCUGAGUUCAAAAAGAAAGAUAACUCCAUACUUGUUCGGCCUUACUCUAGAGAGAGAGAGAGUGUGUAGCGAAUUGCUCUUUUGUAUUCUUUUGUUCAUAUAAACAGUUUUUGAGGUUGCCCAAAAAAAAGAAAAAAAAAAGAAAAGAGAAAAGAUUCAAAAGAAAAAAAAGGGGCUGUUUUUCAUAUUGACUUUAGGUUUGUUCCACCUUGUUUUCGGGGGUGUGCUGUGGUUUUCCUUUGUGUCCAGGCUCGCGUCUCUAGCACGGUCUAGCCUAGGACCAGCACAGUACCAUCGUCGAACGCUUAUUCAGCUCGCUUUUAUAACUAACGUGGUGCUAGUUCGUUCCUUGUUUCAGCCCACCUAUAGCUCCACAUACUCUACAGCUUGACAGGUCUUGUGCUGCAGCACCGGUACACUUCGUCCAUUGCUGUACACUUGUUGGCAGACGACCCCUCCUGUCAAGCAAGGUAAGAAUUGGUAAGAACUUGUGUUACAGGUUGAGUGUGAGCGACUUGCUGUAGCUACGUCCUAGUAGUUGUAGGGCUUUGUAACACCCUAAAUUUUGCUUCUUUGAAAAUAGAGCUAAAAUAAUUUAUUUUGUAUUUCUGUG